UACGGAGGGGGCUAGCGUUGUUCGGAAUUACUGGGCGUAAAGCGCACGUAGGCGGCUUUGUAAGUUAGAGGUGAAAGCCCGGGGCUCAACCCCGGAAUUGCCUUUAAGACUGCAUCGCUUGAACGUCGGAGAGGUGAGUGGAAUUCCGAGUGUAGAGGUGAAAUUCGUAGAUAUUCGGAAGAACACCAGUGGCGAAGGCGCUCACUGGACGACUGUUGACGCUGAGGUGCGAAAGCGUGGGGAGCAAACAGG
rnacentral:rRNA from 1 species